AUUGAACGCUGGCGGCAGGCCUAACACAUGCAAGUCGAGCGGAUGAAGGGAGCUUGCUCCUGGAUUCAGCGGCGGACGGGUGAGUAAUGCCUAGGAAUCUGCCUGGUAGUGGGGGAUAACGUCCGGAAACGGGCGCUAAUACCGCAUACGUCCUGAGGGAGAAAGUGGGGGAUCUUCGGACCUCACGCUAUCAGAUGAGCCUAGGUCGGAUUAGCUAGUUGGUGGGGUAAAGGCCUACCAAGGCGACGAUCCGUAACUGGUCUGAGAGGAUGAUCAGUCACACUGGAACUGAGACACGGUCCAGACUCCUACGGGAGGCCGCAGUGGGGAAUAUUGGACAAUGGGCGAAAGCAUGAUCCAGCCAUGCCGCGUGUGUGAAGAAGGUCUUCGGAUUGUAAAGCACUUUAAGUUGGGAGGAAGGGCAGUAAGUUAAUACCUUGCUGUUUUGACGUUACCAACAGAAUAAGCACCGGCUAACUUCGUG
rnacentral:rRNA from 1 species